GCCGCGAUCGUCAAAACGGUCAUGACGCCGGGUUCUCAUCCCGGAAGUCGGGGUUCGAGUCCCGAGCCACGGAA
rnacentral:tRNA from 1 species